AGCGAACGCUGGCGGCAGGCUUAACACAUGCAAGUCGAACGGUCCUUCGGGAUAGUGGCGGCCGGGUGAGUAAUACGUGGGAACGUACCCUUAGGUUCGGAACAACACAGGGAAACUUGUGCUAAUACUCGAUAAGCCCUUCGGGGGAAAGAUUUAUCGCCUUUGGAGCGGCCCGUGUCUGGUUAGCUUGUUGGUGCGGUAAUGGCUCACCAAGGCUACGAUCAGUAGCUGGUCUGAGAGGAUGGCCAGCCACACUGGGACUGAGACACGGCCCAGACUCCUACGGGAGGCAGCAGUGGGGAAUCUUGCGCAAUGGGCGAAAGCCGGACGCAGCCAUGCCGCGGGGAUGAUGAAGGUCUUAGGAUUGUAAAAUCCUUUCACCGGGGACGAUAAUGACGGUACCCGGAGAAGAAGCCCCGGCUAACUUCGUGCCAGCCGCCGCCGUAA
rnacentral:rRNA from 1 species